UAUGGGGAAAGAGGGAAGGGAGGCCUGAACGAGGGCUGCGAAUGGCCGAGCAGGCAGAAGGGUGCUCCAUAAAGAGGUGAAACUGACAUUACGGUACCCUCUCUGAGAUGCGAUCCUUGAGGAUUGCAUUUGUGUGGAGGAGAAGAAGAAUGGGGUUUCGCCUUGGAAACAGGCUGAGCUCACAUAUGUACAUAUCCACCCGCAACCAUUCCAAGCAACGUGCACUUUCAUUUCGAGAAUUCCUCGAGGAAACAGGUUUAAAGGCGACGAAGAAAAAUACGGGGGUCGAUCAAGCACGUGAAAUGACGGACGACUCGCCACGAAUCAAACACUUUUCGAACUGGGACUCAUGUCUUGAAAGUAGGGAUGGGCCAUGGAUUCAUCGGCGGAGAGGCGUUGACCGGGAUUACAUUGGAGCAGGCGCUGCAAGGUACUUAAUGUUAAUAGUUGUUAAUGGCGAUGGGCAGGGAUAUCGAUCUCACCUGGAGCAAAUCCCGGCCGCGUCUAGAGAGUUUGGGGACCACUUGAGUGAAGGCCAUGGAGGGAUGGUAGAUGGGGAAUUGUUUGAAUUCGGGGAGUUGUCCCAUACUCGGCCAAUUGUCUUCCACGGGCGUUCCCAGGAGCUUGAAAAUCCGUUUCAGUUGGUCGUCCACGUCACUGCCCGGAAAUAAAGGCCGCCCUGCAUUGGCCAA